rnacentral:rRNA from 1 species
UACGUAGGGUGCGAGCGUUGCCCGGAUUUAUUGGGCGUAAAGGGCGCGUAGGCGGCCACGCACGUCCGUUGUGAAAUCGCCCGGCUCAACUGGGCGGGGUCAGCGGAUACGGUGUGGGCUCGAGCAAGCUAGGGAGCAAUGGGAAUUCCCGGUGUAGUGGUGGAAUGCGUAGAUAUCGGGAGGAACACCAGUGGCGAAGGCGGCUACCUGGACCAGCACUGACACUCAGGCACGAAAGCGUGGGGAGCGAACAGG